CUCCGUAGCAUUGUAGCGAGUGCUCUAUCUGUUCGUAAAGUUGAUUACUAAUUUAUCAGGUUCACCAGCAUUUACAAUGGCUGUUCGUUUAAUGCUUGUGAGUAUAUUCGGAGCGUUGAUACUGGCAACUUUUACAGCGGCAGGACCCCUUGAAGACGCAACGACGCAACCGGAGAACAAGUCUCCCUAUCUCCGCUGGGAUCCCAGUAAAGAUAUGCGCAACUGCCCUUACUGGCCCGGUGAAGAGCCAGUGACGUGCGAUCCGGAUUACAGUAACAACUGUGAAUGCUGUUUUCGGGUUACAGAGCGCCGAAUAUGUGAUCUGUCUGCGUGGAAAUUUUAAAAUCGAUAUUGUGUAUGACUGGCACUGAUUGCAGAUAAGUAUUGUAAAGCUAUUUUCUGAAACAUUAUUUUACAAUACCACAUAAUGCAUUCUUUCAAGAAACCACUUUGAUGUGC